GCUAUCAAUAAGCGGAGGAAAAGAAAUCACCGGGAUUGCCUCAGUUAACGGCGAGUGAAGCGGCAAGAGCUCAAAUUUGAAAUCUGGCCCCCCCGGGGUCCGAGUUGUAAUUUGGAGAGGAUGCUUCGGGCACGGUCCCCAUCUAAGUGCCCCUGGAACGGGCUGUCACAGAGGGUGAGAACCCCGUAUGGGAUGGGCGGCCGCGCCCGUGUGAAGCUCCUUCGACGAGUCGAGUUGUUUGGGAAUGCAGCUCUAAGCGGGUGGUAAAUUUCAUCUAAAGCUAAAUACUGGCCGGAGACCGAUAGCGCACAAGUAGAGUGAUCGAAAGAUGAAAAGCACUUUGAAAAGAGAGUUAAACAGCACGUGAAAUUGUUGAAAGGGAAGCGUUGGCCACCAGACGCGCCCGGGAGGGCUCAACCGGCACCUGUGCCGGCGUACUCCCCCCCGGGCGGGUCAGCAUCGGUUUGGACGGUCGCAGAAAGGCCCCGGGAAUGUAGCACCCUCCGGGGUGCCUUAUAGCCUGGAGUGUCAUGCGGCCCGCCUGGACCGAGGCCCGCGCUUCGGCGAGGAUGCUGGCGUAAUGGUGGUCAACGGCCCGUCUUGAAACACGGACCAAGGAGUCUAACAUCUAUGCGAGUGUUCGGGUGUCAAACCCGUCCGCGCAGUGAAAGCGAACGCAGGUGGGAACCCCCCCUUCCGGGGGGGCGCACCAUCGACCGAUCCUGAUGUCCUCGGGAUGGAUUUGAGUAAGAGCAUAGCUGUUGGGACCCGAAAGAUGGUGAACUAUGCCUGAAUAGGGCGAAGCCAGAGGAAACUCUGGUGGAGGCUCGCAGCGGUUCUGACGUGCAAAUCGAUCGUCAAAUUUGGGUAUAGGGGCGAAAGACUAAUUCGAACCAUCUUGGUAGCUGGUUCCUGCCGAAG
rnacentral:rRNA from 1 species